rnacentral:rRNA from 1 species
UUAAGCGACUAAGCGUACACGGUGGAUGCCCUGGCAGUCAGAGGCGAUGAAGGACGUGCUAAUCUGCGAAAAGCGUCGGUAAGGUGAUAUGAACCGUUAUAACCGGCGAUGUCCGAAUGGGGAAACCCAGUGCAAUUCGUUGCACUAUCGUUAACUGAAUACAUAGGUUAACGAGGCGAACCGGGGGAACUGAAACAUCUAAGUACCCCGAGGAAAAGAAAUCAACCGAGAUUCCCCCAGUAGCGGCGAGCGAACGGGGAGCAGCCCAGAGUCUGAAUCAGCUUGUGUGUUAGUGGAACGGUCUGGAAAGUCCGACGGUACAGGGUGAUAGUCCCGUACACCAAAAUGCACAGGUUGUGAACUCGAAGAGUAGGGCGGGACACGUGGUAUCCUGUCUGAAUAUGGGGGGACCAUCCUCCAAGGCUAAAUACUCCUGACUGACCGAUAGUGAACCAGUACCGUGAGGGAAAGGCGAAAAGAACCCCGGCGAGGGGAGUGAAAAAGAACCUGAAACCGUGUACGUACAAGCAGUGGGAGCACCUUCGGGUGUGACUGCGUACCUUUUGUAUAAUGGGUCAGCGACUUAUAUUCUGUAGCAAGGUUAACCGUAUAGGGGAGCCGCAGGGAAACCGAGUCUUAACUGGGCGUUAAGUUGCAGGGUAUAGACCCGAAACCCGGUGAUCUAGCCAUGGGCAGGUUGAAGGUUGGGUAACACUAACUGGAGGACCGAACCGACUAAUGUUGAAAAAUUAGCGGAUGACUUGUGGCUGGGGGUGAAAGGCCAAUCAAACCGGGAGAUAGCUGGUUCUCCCCGAAAGCUAUUUAGGUAGCGCCUCGUGAACUCAUCUUCGGGGGUAGAGCACUGUUUCGGCUAGGGGGUCAUCCCGACUUACCAACCCGAUGCAAACUACGAAUACCGAAGAAUGUUAUCACGGGAGACACACGGCGGGUGCUAACGUCCGUCGUGAAGAGGGAAACAACCCAGACCGCCAGCUAAGGUCCCAAAGUCAUGGUUAAGUGGGAAACGAUGUGGGAAGGCACAGACAGCCAGGAUGUUGGCUUAGAAGCAGCCAUCAUUUAAAGAAAGCGUAAUAGCUCACUGGUCGAGUCGGCCUGCGCGGAAGAUGUAACGGGGCUAAACCAUGCACCGAAGCUGCGGCAGCGACACUAUGUGUUGUUGGGUAGGGGAGCGUUCUGUAAGCCUGCGAAGGUGACCUGUGAGGGUUGCUGGAGGUAUCAGAAGUGCGAAUGCUGACAUAAGUAACGAUAAAGCGGGUGAAAAGCCCGCUCGCCGGAAGACCAAGGGUUCCUGUCCAACGUUAAUCGGGGCAGGGUGAGUCGACCCCUAAGGCGAGGCCGAAAGGCGUAGUCGAUGGGAAACAGGUUAAUAUUCCUGUACUUGGUGUUACUGCGAAGGGGGGACGGAGAAGGCUAUGUUAGCCGGGCGACGGUUGUCCCGGUUUAAGCAUGUAGGCUGAUUGUCCAGGCAAAUCCGGAUAAUCAAGGCUGAGGUGUGAUGACGAGGCACUACGGUGCUGAAGUAACAAAUGCCCUGCUUCCAGGAAAAGCCUCUAAGCAUCAGGUAACAUUAAAUCGUACCCCAAACCGACACAGGUGGUCAGGUAGAGAAUACCAAGGCGCUUGAGAGAACUCGGGUGAAGGAACUAGGCAAAAUGGUGCCGUAACUUCGGGAGAAGGCACGCUGGUGUGUAGGUGAAGCCCCUGCGGGUGGAGCUGAGACCAGUCGAAGAUACCAGCUGGCUGCAACUGUUUAUUAAAAACACAGCACUGUGCAAACACGAAAGUGGACGUAUACGGUGUGACGCCUGCCCGGUGCCGGAAGGUUAAUUGAUGGGGUUAUCCGUAAGGAGAAGCUCUUGAUCGAAGCCCCGGUAAACGGCGGCCGUAACUAUAACGGUCCUAAGGUAGCGAAAUUCCUUGUCGGGUAAGUUCCGACCUGCACGAAUGGCGUAAUGAUGGCCAGGCUGUCUCCACCCGAGACUCAGUGAAAUUGAACUCGCUGUGAAGAUGCAGUGUACCCGCGGCAAGACGGAAAGACCCCGUGAACCUUUACUAUAGCUUGACACUGAACAUUGAGCCUUGAUGUGUAGGAUAGGUGGGAGGCUUUGAAGCGUGGACGCCAGUCUGCGUGGAGCCAACCUUGAAAUACCACCCUUUAAUGUUUGAUGUUCUAACGUUGGCCCCUGACCGGGGUUGCGGACAGUGUCUGGUGGGUAGUUUGACUGGGGCGGUCUCCUCCCAAAGCGUAACGGAGGAGCACGAAGGUUAGCUAAUCCUGGUCGGACAUCAGGAGGUUAGUGCAAUGGCAUAAGCUAGCUUGACUGCGAGCGUGACGGCGCGAGCAGGUGCGAAAGCAGGUCAUAGUGAUCCGGUGGUUCUGAAUGGAAGGGCCAUCGCUCAACGGAUAAAAGGUACUCCGGGGAUAACAGGCUGAUACCGCCCAAGAGUUCAUAUCGACGGCGGUGUUUGGCACCUCGAUGUCGGCUCAUCACAUCCUGGGGCUGAAGUAGGUCCCAAGGGUAUGGCUGUUCGCCAUUUAAAGUGGUACGCGAGCUGGGUUUAGAACGUCGUGAGACAGUUCGGUCCCUAUCUGCCGUGGGCGCUGGAGAAUUGAGGGGGGCUGCUCCUAGUACGAGAGGACCGGAGUGGACGCAUCACUGGUGUUCGGGUUGUCAUGCCAAUGGCACUGCCCGGUAGCUAAAUGCGGAAGAGAUAAGUGCUGAAAGCAUCUAAGCACGAAACUUGCCCCGAGAUGAGUUCUCCCUGAGACUUUAAGUCUCCUGAAGGAACGUUGAAGACGACGACGUUGAUAGGCCGGGUGUGUAAGCGCAGCGAUGCGUUGAGCUAACCGGUACUAAUGAACCGUGAGGCUUAACCUU